rnacentral:rRNA from 1 species
UACGUAGGCACCAAGCGUUGUUCGGAAUUACGGGGCGUAAAGCGAGUGUAGGCGGUUUGCCAAGUCGGUUGUGAAAUCUCCCGGCUUAACUGGGAGGGUGCGACUGAAACUGGCAGGCUGGAGUGCGGGAGAGGAGAGUGGAAUUCCUGGUGUAGCGGUGAAAUGCGUAGAUAUCAGGAGGAACACCGGUGGUGAAGACGGCUCUCUGGACCGCUACUGACGCUGAGACUCGAAAGCGUGGGGAGCAAACAGG